GAGUACCGGUUAUAAAAGCUGUGACGCGUACGAGCUUAUGUGUUAAAAGUCGGUGAAGUUUUUGAUAUUUUUCUGUGGAACUAAGCAAGCUCAAAACGACUCGCAGGACUCAUCCGUUAGGUAACCUGCAAGAGCAGAUGCGAGGCAGUUUUACAUAGGGCGCGGAAAGAGGAGAACACGACAGCUGCAAUCUUCCAAAGAACCCCAAAGAACUGCCGUCCGACAUUCUGGGAACACCAGGAGCCAAUUCCCAAAACCCCAAAACCAACCAAAAUUGUUCCCGUAUUUUUGAAGAUUCCGAUCUAGAUCCAAAAGCGGGAAGCUCGUGGGAAGGAGUCUUAGACAAAUUUCACCAUCUCGUGAGAGAGCUGGCAGCAGAAGUUUGAAAGGACUUGAAGGACGAGUUAGUGUCCCGGUUUCGUGAGUGGGUGGUCAAUUCGACGGAAAAAAUCUGGAGAAUCGGUGGAAGAUUCUUUUCGAGCAAUGCUUGAGGACAAGAUUCACCACACCCAUAGCCGAGUCCUAAGUGGCUCGAGUCGUGAAGAAGGGACUCGAGGAUGAGAUCGCUCGUUACGUGUGCGUGAUCCACAUCUAAGAGGUGGAGUGCUCCAAAAGGCCCGUGCACGGUUAACGAAAAGGAGACAGGCUCGCAAAGAGACAUGGAGCAAGCCAUGUACUUGGGUAUCGAUUUCUGGAGAUCUUUCGCAGAUCAGCCAAUAUGCCGAAGAUUGCCAGAAGAACGUGUUGAAGCUCGGGACCUGAAGGAAAAAGAUGCUAAAGAUGCUGGAGAGGGUGAAGAAGGAGUACUACGAGUCUGACGUACGAAUAUGCCGGACUAGGGUCAACGACGCUAGAGAAACAUCGGAUCUAGUUCGUGGAGGGCAUUUCCCCUUAAUCCCCAGCGAUGCAGGAAGUGGUCUAGACAGAAGUGGACAAGAUGCUGGAACUAGGAGUGAUAGGCCUUGGCGCCGGUAGUGCGGUAACCCAACAAAAACAGGAAAUGUAUGUUGUUUGUACGCGCGAAAGUUGAACCAGCUCAACGUCAAAGACACUCACCCUCUUCCUAGCACCGUGGGAAUACGGUCCAGGAUUGACCAGACGCAUUGCAUAUCGAGAGUCG
rnacentral:lncRNA from 1 species